UGCUGGAGGGCGCAGCGUGCCUCUCUCUGCUCUUUCUGUUUUAUGAAACUUCUCUGCUGCAAGCGCUUGAGAGCCUCCCGGCUUCCUGGGGAGAGUGGACUGAACUUCAAAGCAGACACCGCUGCAGCUAAGAAGCCCCUGGGUUGCUUCAAAGACUGUCUCUUCCCAGUCUGAAGCUUCUGGGCCCGAGUGACCACCCACAAGAAUGCCCUGAACCCUGACUGCCUCAGGAUGCAUCCUGCAGUUUACAUUUCCUUGGUGCCUCCACUCCAGCCGCCUCUCUGGCCACCCCUGCCCCCUCCCUUCUCUCCGUCAUGCCAAAAAGUGCCCUUGUGUUCUCUGAUGGUGGACGAGGGGAUUCAGUUAGGAGUCAGGAUGGUCUAUGUGAUUUUUGUACACUAUUCCAGAAUAGGUGUGUGGUUGCUUUAAAAAUAAAAAGAAAAGUGUCUUCCAAA